GCUAGUAUGGCUCAGUGAUUAGAGUGUCAGCCUGAGAACUGAAGGGUCGCAGGUUAAAUUCUCUGUUAAGAGCA
rnacentral:tRNA from 1 species